AUCUCUUGUUUUCCAGGGAAGUACUGCUUUGUGGCUUUUGCCUGUAGCCCAAGAGUUGCCUGAUUUUAUCGGUUCAGACAAAAGUGAACUUGAGACAAAACUGAAAACUUUAUAUAUGGACUAUCCAGACAUUGGUGAGAAACAUCUUUUAGCACUUCUUCAUUUUCGUGGAAUAUUGAGAGGAAAAAGGAAAAGCAACUUAAUUAAGUAUUUCAACCAAGUGGUAAAAGAAUCAGAAGACUCAGUAACACUAUCCCACCCUCUUUUUGAAGAAGUUAAAAUCGAGGGACAACUGAACUGCAUGUCUUAAUUUACAUGAGAGUUUAAAUGUAUUUUAAGCUUAUCAAGCAUUCUUGGGCACAAUGUGUUAAUAUAGAUGCUUCCAAUAUAUAAUGGCUAUGUUGAUCUAAAAAUUUCAUUCAUUUACUUAUUUGAAAAUCUGUGCGCCUACUAUCCAUAAUUCUCUUUGCUGUUUGUCUUAAAAUUUUCACUACAUUGACGUGAUUUAGUUCUUAUGUUCAGACUGCCUCUAUAUGACGAUAAGAGAGUUAGUUUUAUUGAAAAGGAGGAUUUGAAUAUUUGGCAUCUUGAUUCCAUAGUAAUGAAUUCUGUCAAAUAGCAAAGAAAGUAGAAAGCCUCCAGAUAUAGUCUUUGUCUGCUGGGGAGAUAAACAAAAUUCUAGCCAUGCGCCAUACUCCCUUUACAAGGAAUCAUUGACAAUUUCUGUUCCAAUAUUAUUGAGUGAAACUACGAAGAGGAGCAUGGGCUAGCCUAUAAAUAGGGACAUCUGUAGAAAAGCAGAAUCUGAGGAAAAACUUGAACUUUAAUUCACUUUGGUUUAAUUAUCUUAAACAAAACUUCACAUUUAUCAUUGAGAGCACAAGCCUUGAUAGGAAGCAGUGAUGUGAACCAAUGGAAGUGUGUUCAACCUACAUUUGAGAUUACAGUUUUCUUUCACCCAACUUUAAAUGGAAGCUGUUGCAGCAAAAAUGAAAUAAUUUUGUCUGCUGUACAUAAUUAUGUUCUUUCCUUCAAGUAAUGGUAAUUUUGAGGUUGGAACAAGAUGAUUUUGAAGGAAUGACACUUAGGUGCUGGUACAUACAGCACCAAAUAACAUUAUAAUUUUUCUAGAAUUUGUUUAACACUAAAAAACAUUUCCUCUAGGCAAUAGGGAUGUGACCAAACAACAGAGGAAAUAUUUAAGUGCAUAUUGGUUGGUCAGAGAGAUGGUUUUACGAAGGGCAUUAUGUUAAGGGCCAGUGGUGAGGAUGCAGAGGGUUAUAAAGGGGUGAUUCUGAAGCAUAGGAUUUAGAUAACAGAUGGCAAAGUCAUGAUUUAUGAGGUGAAAGGAGGGAGCUUGCACAAAAGGCCAGAAUCAGACAAACACAAAGUUUGGAGUGGGGUCAAGGCAGUAGAAUGGGAGAGGUUACAGGGAAAGGGACGUAUAACAGUAGGAGUAGGCUAUACAGUCACUCCUGUUACACCCUUGUUGAUCAAUUUUACUGUUUCUUUCAGUAUAUCUUUGUUACCUAAAAAAUGUCUAUCAAUCUCAAUUUUAAAAUUUAAAGUAUCCAGCAUGCUGAGGUUUCUAGACACGCAUCCUUUGUUUUUAAAAAGAAAGCCUCCAUCCUGACUUGGUCUUGGUGCCUGUACGAGUCCAUCACAAAUAGUAAUUAGUCUGAAGCCAGCAGAAUGAUGAACCAAAAUCACUGUUCAAUGGUGAUAAUUUAAGAAGUAAAACAUGAGCAGUCGUGUUUCGAGAAUCAAAUUAUGGUGACAGUACAGUAGAAAUCUGUUAUUUCAGAAAAUAGAAAGUUUGCAAUUAUUGAAAAUAUUUUAUUAUGCAAAAUACAGUUUACUAGCCUCUUUAAUAAUCAAUAACGAUCUCUGCUAAUGUAUAGCCAGAUAAUCUUUUGGUUACAGAUGACAUUGUGACAAACUUCUUUUGAUUCUGAAAUUGUGCUACGUUUACCGAGAUAUUGAAAAAAUGAAGAUACAUCCAGGUUAUUUGGAAACACUGAUGAUGCCGCAACCAAGAGAAACACCCAGUCUAGGAAUCCAAAAGCAUAAUAGUUGUCUUGCAUAACAUAUUUAAACAACUGUGACCAAGCUGAAUAAUUUUUGGAAAUCUCAACAUUGAUUGCAUAGCUAAAGUCAUGAACUUGCUAUGAACCCAUACUUUCCCACUUGAAGAUGCAGUUCAAGGAUUCUUUCAUGAGUUGAUUCAGUCAACUGAAGCUAGCUUUUAAAAGCAUCAUCCAAUCUUGCCAAGUAUGUGGCUGUUGCAACAGUAUUUACUAUAACAGCAUCCAUGAAAAUCUUCACAAAUUCCUUUACACCAGGAGAAUUUCAUUUAAAGAUCAUAAAUGUAUCUGUAAUUAAAACAAAUGUGCUGGAAAUAAUCAGGCUGAUCAUCAAUGUGAAACAUUAUGCUUAUUUCUUUUCAACGGAUGUUGCCUGACACCCUGAGCAUUUUCAGCAGAUUAUUUUUUAAUAAAAAAUUUCAGCAUC